CCUACGGGAGGCAGCAGUAGGGAAUCUUCCGCAAUGGACGAAAGUCUGACGGAGCAACGCCGCGUGAGCGAUGAAGGCCUUCGGGUCGUAAAGCUCUGUUGUUAGGGAAGAACAAGUAUCAGAGUAACUGCCGGUACCUUGACGGUACCUAACCAGAAAGCCACGGCUAACUACGUGCCAGCAGCCGCGGUAAUACGUAGGUGGCAAGCGUUGUCCGGAAUUAUUGGGCGUAAAGCGCGCGCAGGCGGUCCUUUAAGUCUGAUGUGAAAGCCCACGGCUCAACCGUGGAGGGUCAUUGGAAACUGGGGGACUUGAGUACAGAAGAGGAAAGCGGAAUUCCACGUGUAGCGGUGAAAUGCGUAGAGAUGUGGAGGAACACCAGUGGCGAAGGCGGCUUUCUGGUCUGUAACUGACGCUGAGGCGCGAAAGCGUGGGGAGCAAACAGGAUUAGAUACCCCGGUAGUCCACGCCGUAAACGAUGAGUGCUAAGUGUUAGGGGGUUUCCGCCCCUUAGUGCUGCAGCUAACGCAUUAAGCACUCCGCCUGGGGAGUACGGCCGCAAGGCUGAAACUUAAAGGAAUUGACGG
rnacentral:rRNA from 1 species